AGACCUGAGCUGCGGGGACAGGAGCAGUGGCCUAUCAUCUCUCCCUGGUGUCUCUGCUAUUGAAAACACUUGUCCUGAAGAUGGGGACCACCUGAAGAGAUGCCUAGGGAACAGACUCCCCUUAAAAUUUGACAAGGAUAUAUCCUGGGACCUAGGGAGCACAGACCAAGUGGGGCUAGCGUUCUCACAGUAGGACAUCGAGGUGUCUGGGAAAGAGACUUUGGCAGGUCCAGCUGUAUUCGAGCUUGGAGAUUCAGACUCAGGCUCCCAUACUUGAGUGGCAAGCGCCGUAUCUGCU
rnacentral:lncRNA from 1 species